UCCUGGCUCAGGAUGAACGCUGGCGGCGUGCUUAACACAUGCAAGUCGAACGAAGCAUUUAGAACAGAUUAUUUCGGUAUGAAGUUUUUAUGACUGAGUGGCGGACGGGUGAGUAACGCGUGGGUAACCUGCCUUGUACUGGGGGAUAGCAGCUGGAAACGGCUGGUAAUACCGCAUAAGCGCACAAUGUUGCAUGACAUGGUGUGAAAAACUCCGGUGGUAUAAGAUGGACCCGCGUCUGAUUAGCUAGUUGGUGAGAUAACAGCCCACCAAGGCGACGAUCAGUAGCCGACCUGAGAGGGUGACCGGCCACAUUGGGACUGAGACACGGCCCAGACUCCUACGGGAGGCAGCAGUGGGGAAUAUUGCACAAUGGAGGAAACUCUGAUGCAGCGACGCCGCGUGAGUGAAGAAGUAAUUCGUUAUGUAAAGCUCUAUCAGCAGGGAAGAUAGUGACGGUACCUGACUAAGAAGCUCCGGCUAAAUACGUGCCAG
rnacentral:rRNA from 1 species